CGCACAGGGCAAACCACUUUAAAGAGUGAGACGCAAAGCCUCCGGCCUAAGCCUAUAUUGGUAUGGUAGCGGGGUUGCCGA
rnacentral:ncRNA from 1 species